rnacentral:rRNA from 1 species
CCUACGAGCAGCAGCAGUAGGGAAUUUUGCGCAAUGGGCGAAAGCCUGACGCAGCAACGCCGCGUGAUUGAUUAAGCCCUUCGGGGCGUAAAGACCUGUCAGCAGGGACGAAACUGGACGGUACCCACAGAGGAAGCACCGGCUAACUCCGUGCCAGCAGCCGCGGUAAUACGGAGGGUGCAAGCGUUGUCCGGAAUCAUUGUGCGUAAAGAGUUCGUAGGUGGCAUAGUAAGUCUGGUGUUAAAGGCAGAAGCCCAACUCCUGGUCGGCACUUGAAACUGGUAAGCUGGAAUGCGGUAGGGGUAAAGGGAAUUCCUGGGGUAGCGGUGAAAUGCGUAGAUAUAAGGAGGAACAUCGGUGGCGGAAGCGCUUUACUGGGCCGUAAUUGACGCUGAGGAACGAAAGCCGGGGGAGCAAAUGGGAUUAGAUACCCUUGUAGUC